rnacentral:rRNA from 1 species
GGGCAAGUCUGGUGCCAGCAGCCGCGGUAAUUCCAGCUCUCAAAGUGUAUAUCGUUAUUGCUGCGGUUAAAAAGCUCGUAGUUGGAUCUGAGCCGAGGACUUGGUCCGGCCACUGGUCGUGAACUGGGCUCCUCGGCUAAAACGGCUGGUUUUCCAUCCGUUGCCUUUAUCGGCUGCGUAUGGUGGCUGGCGAUUUUACUUUGAAAAAAUUAGAGUGCUUCAAACAGGCUAGUGCCUGCAUACUCUUGCAUGGAAUAAUAGAAUAGGAUCUUGGUUCUAUUUUGUUGGUUUUCUGAACUGAGAUAAUGGUUAAGAGGGACGGACGGGGGCAUUCGUAUCGCUGCGUGAGAGGUGAAAUUCUUGGACCGUAGCGAGACGCCCGACUGCGAAAGCAUUUGCCAAGAAUGUCUUCAUUAAUCAAGAACGAAAGUCAGAGGUUCGAAGGCGAUCAGAUACCGCCCUAGUUCUGACCGUAAACGAUGCCAACUAGCAAUCCGUCGGCGGUAAUUACGCCUUGACGGGCAGCUUCCCGGAAACGAAAGUUUUCCGGUUCCGGGGGAAGUAUGGUUGCAAAGCUGAAACUUAAAGAAAUUGACGGAAGGGCACCACCAGGAGUGGACUGCGGCUUAAUUUGACUCAACACGGGAAAACUCACCUGGCCCGGACACCGUGAGGAUUGACAGAUUGAGAGCUCUUUCUUGAUUCGGUGGUUGGUGGUGCAUGGCCGUUCUUAGUUGGUGGAGUGAUUUGUCUGGUUUAUUCCGAUAACGAGCGAGACUCUAGCCUACUAAAUAGUUAUCGGAUAAUCGAGUUCGAAAGACUUCUUAGAGGGACAAACGGUGUUCAGCCGCGCGAAAUUGAGCAAUAACAGGUCUGUGAUGCCCUU